GAUGAACGCUGGCGGCGUGCCUAAUACAUGCAAGUCGAGCGAACGGACGAGAAGCUUGCUUCUCUGAUGUUAGCGGCGGACGGGUGAGUAACACGUGGAUAACCUACCUAUAAGACUGGGAUAACUUCGGGAAACCGGAGCUAAUACCGGAUAAUAUUUUGAACCGCAUGGUUCAAAAGUGAAAGACGGUCUUGCUGUCACUUAUAGAUGGAUCCGCGCUGCAUUAGCUAGUUGGUAAGGUAACGGCUUACCAAGGCAACGAUGCAUAGCCGACCUGAGAGGGUGAUCGGCCAAACUGGAACUGAGACACGGUCCAGACUCCUACGGGAGGCAGCAGUAGGGAAUCUUCCGCAAUGGGCGAAAGCCUGACGGAGCAACGCCGCGUGAGUGAUGAAGGUCUUCGGAUCGUAAAACUCUGUUAUUAGGGAAGAACAUAUGUGUAAGUAACUGUGCACAUCUUGACGGUACCUAAUCAGAAAGCCACGGUUAACUACGUG
rnacentral:rRNA from 1 species